rnacentral:rRNA from 1 species
CCUACGGGAGGCAGCAGUGAGGAAUAUUGGUCAAUGGGCGGGAGCCUGAACCAGCCAAGUAGCGUGAAGGAUGACUGCCCUACGGAUUGUAAACUUCUUUUAUAAAGGAGUAAAGUGAGGCACGUGUGCCUUUUUGUAUGUACUUUAUGAAUAAGGCUCGGCUAACUCCGUGCCAGCCGCCGCGGUAAUACGGGGGAUGCGGGCGUUAUCCGGAUUCAUUGGGUUUAAAGGGUGCGCAGGCGGGCCUUUAAGCCGGCGGUAAAAUGGCGGGGCUCAACCCCGCCGGGCCGUCGGAACUGGGGGCCUUGAGUGCGGCAGAGGCAUGCGGAAUGCGCGGUGUAGCGGUGAAAUGCAUAGAUAUCGCGCAGAACCCCGAUUGCGAAGGCAGCGUGCCGGGGCGCGACUGACGCUGAGGCACGAAAGCGCGGGGAUCGAACAGGAUUAGAUACCCGUGUAGUC